AUUAAAUGUAACAAACGUGUCCCCUUCUCCCCUUACCCUUAGUAGAAUAAAGCACACUCACUAAAUAUAGAGAACCAAAUACAUGGAACUAAUCUGCUCCAACAUAGCUCCCUGUGUCUCAAUCUGAAAGCUCUACUUUUUAUUAAAUACAUAAAAAAAUAUAGGGACUACUAUUCCUCAUGUGUAGCAGUCAAAGUGACAAAACCUGGCACAGGGCGGAGCUUAAAG